AUAUCUCUCUGUACGGGAAGGAUGAGAAGCUUCGACUAAGGUUCGAUUCGAGCGCAGCGAGAAAGCGUUGCCGCAGGCAACGACCCGAAGGGCGAAGCGCGCAGCGCUGAGUC
rnacentral:sRNA from 2 species